AUCCAGUUGACGAAUCCCAAAUAGAACGAAAUGCACGUUAUCCUGGAU
rnacentral:hammerhead_ribozyme from 1 species